rnacentral:rRNA from 1 species
GACGAACGCUGGCGGCGUGCCUAAUACAUGCAAGUCGAGCGGACUUUCAAGAAGCUUGCUCUUUGAAAGUUAGCGGCGGACGGGUGAGUAACACGUGGGCAACCUGCCUGCAAGACGGGGAUAACUCCGGGAAACCGGGGCUAAUACCGGAUAAUAUCUUCCUUCGCAUGAAGGAAGGUUGAAAGGCGGCGCAAGCUGCCGCUUGCACCUGGGCCCGCGGCGCAUUAGCUAGUUGGUGAGGUAACGGGGCACCAAGGGGACGAUGCGUAGCCGCCCUGAGAGGGUGAGCGGCCACACUGGGACUGGGGCACGGCCCAGAAUCCUGCGGGAGGGAGCAGUAGGGGAUCUUCCGCGAAGGACGAAAGUCUGAAGGAGGAACGCCGCGCGAGCGCAGGAGGGCUUCGGGUCGUGAAAGUCUGUUGUCAGGGAAGAACGAGUACCGUUCGAACAGGGCGGUACCUUGACGGUACCUGACCAGAAAGCCACGGCUAACUACGUG